rnacentral:rRNA from 1 species
AGAGUUUGAUCCUGGCUCAGAACGAACGCUGGCGGCGUGCCUAACACAUGCAAGUCGAACGGGGAUAAGUAGCUUGCUAUUUAUUCUAGUGGCGCACGGGUGAGUAACGCGUAGAUAAUCUGCCUUAGACUCUGGGAUAACAUCUCGAAAGGGGUGCUAAUACCGGAUAAGCCCACGGGGACGUGAGUUCUUGCGGGAAAAGGGGGCCUCUGCAUAUGCUCUUGAUCUAAGAUGAGUCUGCGUACCAUUAGCUUGUUGGUAGGGUAAUGGCCUACCAAGGCGACGAUGGUUAGCUGGUCUGAGAGGAUGAUCAGCCACACUGGGACUGAGACACGGCCCAGACUCCUACGGGAGGCAGCAGUGGGGAAUUUCGCGCAAUGGGGGAAACCCUGACGCAGCAACGCCGCGUGAGUGAUGAAGGCUUUCGGGUCGUAAAGCUCUGUCUAGAGGGAAGAAGUGAUAUUCGGUUAAUACCCGGGUUUCUUGACGGUACCUCUGAAGGAAGCACCGGCUAACUCCGUGCCAGCAGCCGCGGUAAUA